GGUAUUCAGGCUUACAAAGAAAGUAAUUAUAGGGCCAGAGACUGGGAGUCAGCCCUCAUUCAUCUCAAUUCCCUUUCACAUAUCAACAUAGCUUGACCUUGAUUUUUUAGAUGCAAGUAAAGGACAUUGAUGUAAUUUGAAUAAGCCAGUUUUUCAACCAUCUUGAGGAGUCGGAAUCAGAAAUGAUGGAUAAAAGCCGGAAGGAGUAACCAGCUCUGAAUUGUUCUUUUAGAGACGUCUUCACAUUGUCAAUCAAAGAGAUAAUUUUGAUUUUGCCACAAUUCCUGCCUCCAUUAAAAGCAAUAAGUGUGUGAUAUCAUAAGAAGUUUGGCAAGCCUCUUGUUCUAAGAGCUGUUGAUGGAUAGGAAAUCAGAGAAAAAGUGAAGAAUCCCAGAGAGCAAGUGACGAUGAAAUCACUAAAGGCAUUUUCCACAGCUUGCUGAGAAUUAAAUAUUUUUCCUUGCAAGAAGUGGUCCAGACCCUGGAAGAACUGGUAGCCAAUUGGUGCAAGGUCUGGUGAAUAUGGUGGAUGAGAGAGAGUUUCCAAGUCCAGCUGCUGUAGUUUGAGCAGUGUUGUUCGUGUGACAUGUGGUUGAAUGCUGUCUUGCAAGUCCUGUUUCUAUUGGCCAAUCUCUGCUGCUUAAUCCCAAGCAUCUCAUCAUUUCAUCGAAGUGGUUGCAGUAGCCAUCUGCUAUAAUUGACUGACCAGGUUUCAUGAAGCUGUAGUGGAUAAUACCAGCACUGGACCACCAGAUACCAUUAGCUUUUUUGGAUGAAUAUUCGGUUUUGGAUUGUGUUUCAGCACUUUGUCUUUACCCAACCAUUGUACUGAACACUUGUGACUGUAAAAAAGAACCCAUUUUUCAUCACAGUAACAAUAUGGUGUAGAAAUGGUUCGCCUUUAUGUUGUGAUAGCAA